rnacentral:lncRNA from 1 species
GAGCAAGUAAUUCCUAAAUUUUAGCACAAGCAAUGGUUACCCGACAUGUUAACCCCAAUUCUAAUAUCACCUCACAUGACUCGUUAAUGUUGGAAUUUAAAUGUGAUAAGCCAAUUUAUCAGAGUGGACCACGUUGGGGGUCUAUAAUUUUGGAGUGAUGUAAAUUUGCUGCUUUAGGGCCAUUGCUAUUCGUUCUAAAAUUUUAGCGAAUGUAGCAACAAGUCAACCGAUAAUUGCAAGCCGAGUGUCUAGGAGCAAAAUUUUUCUAACUCGCCGUAUAAACUAAACAGAAAAUUAACACUACUAAAACUUUCAGAAUGAUAACGUGGAUAAUCAGUUUGAAGAAAACUCCUCUAGAAACGUCAUCAUCGAAAAGUACAUGCAUUGCCACCUUCACGCGCCACACAAGGAUGUUCGCCUUAGUUUGUAGAGUUCGGAGCUAGCCUCCAUUUGUCCAGUCACCUCUGAUGUUGUGGAAGAUGGCCACACUAAGAUGUUUUUCAGACUCAGUCUCUUGAUCAAACUAAAUCAACAACUCAAAUCAUGACCCACAAUCCAAUACUAUAGAUUCACUUCGAUUGCUUUGAUUGUACCCAUGAAGGACACAAGAAGAGGAGCCGCUAAGGCAAAUAAAACAUGGAGAAGAUGGUUGGAAUACAAGCAAGAGAUAAGAGAGUUGUUUUCACUAAGAAGAAAGUCACA